rnacentral:rRNA from 1 species
UAACAGGAAUUAGAUACCCUGGUAGUCCACGCCGUAAACGAUGUCGACUUGGAGGUUGUUCCCUUGAGGAGUGGCUUCCGGAGCUAACGCGUUAAGUCGACCGCCUGGGGAGUACGGCCGCAAGGUUAAAACUCAAAUGAAUUGACGGGGGCCCGCACAAGCGGUGGAGCAUGUGGUUUAAUUCGAUGCAACGCGAAGAACCUUACCUACUCUUGACAUCCAGAGAAUUUAGCAGAGAUGCUUUAGUGCCUUCGGGAACUCUGAGACAGGUGCUGCAUGGCUGUCGUCAGCUCGUGUUGUGAAAUGUUGGGUUAAGUCCCGCAACGAGCGCAACCCUUAUCCUUUGUUGCCAGCGGUUCGGCCGGGAACUCAAAGGAGACUGCCAGUGAUAAACUGGAGGAAGGUGGGGAUGACGUCAAGUCAUCAUGGCCCUUACGAGUAGGGCUACACACGUGCUACAAUGGCAUAUACAAAGAGAAGCGACCUCGCGAGAGCAAGCGGACCUCACAAAGUAUGUCGUAGUCCGGAUCGGAGUCUGCAACUCGACUCCGUGAAGUCGGAAUCGCUAGUAAUCGUAGAUCAGAAUGCUACGGUGAAUACGUUCCCGGGCCUUGUACACACCGCCCGUCACACCAUGGGAGUGGGUUGCAAAAGAAGUAGGUAGCUUAAC